CCGACGUCAGCGGAAGCGGAACGACGGCGGGGGUAGAACCAGGAAGUCUUGCCAAUGGGCAGGGCUUGCGAUACCAGCAUAUUUGCGCUUACCUUUUCCAAAUCACACGGUGGGUGAAAAUUAACAUUUAGGAAAGCGAGGAAACUAGUGGGUGAGGCGAGAAGAGCAGGAAGGAAAGGAGGGAAGGUAAAGUUUUCUAGUACGAGCACAUUGAGAAGAAUGGAGGAUAAAGUUUGCAACGAGCCAGGUAGAAACAGGCUGCCGCAGGGUGCUCGAAACGGGGCUGAUGGAGUGGUGUGAAGUCCCCCGAAAUCAGGAGGGGCUGCCUCUGGCUUGCUGUGAGAACAGAUACCAUAAACUUACUAGGUCCGGUGAUUUAAGCUGUAAAAUAUGUGAUUAGACUCCAGGUAGUCUGAAUGUCAAAACUCCAGCACUCCAAAGCUCUCACUAGGCACUGCUGCCUUAGUAGUAUUUAUUUUAAAAUAUAGACUACAAGGCCGGGCGUUGUGACUCACGCCUGUAAUCCCAGCGCUUUCGGAGGCCGAGGCAGGCGGAUCAUUUGAGGUCAGGGGUUCGAGACCAGCCUGGCCAACGUGGUGAAACGCCGUCUUUACUAAAAAGUAUAUACAAUUAGCCUGGCGUGGUGGUGUACGCCUAUAAUACUAGCUACUCGGGAGGCUGGGCAGGAGAAUUGCUUGAACCCAGGAGACGGAAGUUGCAGUGAGCCGAGAUCAUUCCACUGUACUCAAUCCUGGGCAACAGAGUGAGACUGUCUCACAAAAAAAUAAAAUAAAAUAUAGACUACAGGCCAGGCGCGGUGGCUCAUGCCUGUAAUCCCAGCACUUUGGGAAGCCAAGGAAGGCGGAUCACUUGAGGAAACGAGUUCAAGACCAGCCUGGCCAACAUGCAACUUUAUAAAGCAACUUGAGUCCCGAAGAAAAGACUGUUGUUCUUUUAAGAAAUGGGUCUUCUCGAAUUAUAAACUUUUACACCAUUUUGCAUCGAAGAAUGAGAAUAUUUGGUCUUCCAGCUCCAUGUCAUCUAACCCACGACCAAAUGUGGACUAUCGCUCCGAGAGGCCACCUGACAACUCCAUUUCCAAAGCGAAGUUUGGUUGAAUGAAGACCAACCAUCCCGAUGGCGACUAACCAUCGACAUUCGUAACUUCGCUCACCUCCCAGGCCCGUUAAGGCCUUUGUCCGUUGUCAUCAGGACUAGUGCCUCUGUUGAGAGGGGAACGUUUAUGGCCCUUUAUCAAGCAAACCUUCCCAGCAAGCACACCUAUUUAUUCAAACUCAAUGAUUUUCCAGGGCAUCCGUUGUGAUGGAUAAAGAUACAUGGCCAGGCACAGUGGUUCACACCUGUAAUUUCAGCACUUUGGGAGGCUGAGGCAGGUGGAUCACCUGAGAUGUGGUGAAACCUGAUCUCUACUAAAAAUACAAAAAUCAGCUGGGUAUGGUGGUGGGCACCUGUAUUCCCAGCUCCUUAGGAGGCUGAGACACGAGAAUCGCUUGAACCCAGGAGGCAGAGGUCGCAGUGAGCUGAGAUUACGUGACUGCACUCCAGCCUAGGUGACAGAGUAAGAUUACGUCUCAAUAAAUAAAUAAGUAAAUAACAGAUAUGUAACUCUCAUUUUAUUUUGUCAUCAUUAAAUUCAUAAAUAAUAUAACCUUGCUGUGUACAUAAUUUGAAAAAUCAAUACAAUGUCCUUAAUAGAGUGUAAAAAAAAAAAGAGGAAUUAUGUAUAAUUCAAUAACAUAGGCCUGGCACAGUGGCUCACACCUGCAAUCUCAGCACUUGGGGAGGCCAAGGUGGGUGGAUCACCUGAGGUUGGGAGUUUUAGACCAGCCUGACCAACAUGGAGAAGCCCCAUCUCUACUAAAAAUACAAAAUUAGCUGGGCAUGGUGGCGCAUACCUGUAAUCCCAGCUACUUGGGAGACUGAGACAGGAGAAUCACUUGAACCUGGAAGGCGAAGGUUGCAGUGAGUCAAGAUUGCACCAUUGCACUCCAGCCUGGGCAGCAAGAGCAAAACUCUGUCUCAUAAUAGUAAUAAUGUAUAUUUCAGCAUUUAAAUGAUUACAGUAGAAGGCCUAAUGAGAUAGUUGUAGUCAGAUGUUUACAACUACUCAUAAUGAAGCCAGGCACAGUGGCUCACACCUGUAAUCCUAGCACUUUGGGAGGCUGAGGUGAGUGGAUCACGUGAGGUCAGGAGUUCAAGACCAGCCUGGCCACCAUGGUGAAACCCCAUCUUUAAAAAAAAAAACAACUACUCAUAAUGAAUAAUUUUAGAGUAAGAAAAUUUAAGACAAUAUUUAGCUGAAUAUUGCCAUCAUUUCUUUUUUAUACUUGGCAUCUUAAACUUUGGCUGGAUAAUAUAUUAAUAUAUUCCUGUUCAUCACACACAUAGAAUCAUCCCACACGUGACAGCUACCAAAUGCAGACUGAAGUUGUUUUAUACUGGAGAUGUGCAUGCCACACAAAUAGCACAAAAGAGGAGUAACGUUAUUCAAUGAUAAACCUUUAUUAGUAACAUUCUGAAUGGAACAAUCUUUUUUCCGUGUACAGAAUAAUUACUUUCCUCACCAUUCCGGAUUAUAUGCUAAUUUUUUUAAUGGGGUCUCACUCUAAUCACCCAAGUUAGAGUGCAGUGGUGCGAUCUCAACUCACUGCAACUGCCACCUUCCAGGCUCAAGUGAUCCUCCCACUCAGCCUCCCAAAUAGCUGCGACCACAGGCAUGCACCACCAUGCCUGGCUAAUUUUUUUGUAUUUUUUGUUGAGGUUUCACCAUGUUGGCCAGCCUGGUCUCAAACUCCUGAGCUCAGGCAAUCCACCCACCUUGGCCUCCCAAAGUGCUGGGAUUACAGAGGUGAGUCACCGAGCCCAGGCUAUAUACUAAAAUUGUGACAAAAAUACCUCAUAAGAAAAAUAUUCAGGAUAUGGAACAACCCAAUUAUUUUGUGAGUUGCUGUCCCAAACAAGUGAGACUAUCUAGCAUUCCUAGUCUUCAGUCACUAAACCGAGUAGCAUUCCCAAUAAUAUGACACACCAUAGCCUCCACCCCAAAUUUCCCAACAAACCCUCUUGGGGGGUGACCCUUUUUCUAUAGGAGACCUACAAGCAUUUAGUGUCACUGCGAGUGCAACCACUAGGUGGCAGCAUACAUCAAGGUAUUAAACAUUCAAGCCCAUGAGGGAACCAAGGUUAAGUCUAGUAAGGCGCCGGGUGCGGUGGCUCAGGCCUGUAAUCCCAGCACUUUGGGAGGCCGAGGCGGGUGGAUCACGAGGUCAAGACAUUGAGACCAUCCUGGUCAACAUGGUGAAACCCCGUCUCUACUAAAAGUACAAAAAAUUAGCUGGGCAUGGUGGCACGUGCCUGUAAUCCCAGCUACUCAGGAGACUGAGGCAGGAGAAUUGCCUGAACCCAGGAGGCGGAGGUUGUGGUGAGCCAAGAUCGCACCAUUGCACUCCAGCCUGGAUAACAAGAGCGAAACUCUGUCUAAAAAAAAAGACUAGUAAGACUUCGUGAGAGGGGAGCAGGGUUGGGAAUGAAAGACAAGAAGAUGUCAACUUUAUUUGUAAUGUUUUAUUUCUAUUACUACAAAAAGAUGACUUGAAUAUGACAAAAUAUUAAAAACAGGUGUGAAUGACAAAAGCCAUGGAAAUUGUACUUUUUUCGAUUUUUACAUGUAUGUAUGUAUGCACGUAUUUAUUUUGAGAGGGAGUCUUGCUUUGUCGCCCAGGCUGUAGUGUAAUGGUGCGAUCUCGGCUCACUGCAACCUCCACUUCCUGGGUUCAAGCGAUUCUCCUGCCUCAGCCUCCCUAGUAGCUGGGAUUACAGGUAACAGCCGUUUCCCAAAGCAGACCUCCUUCUUGCCUGGGGACUAGAUUGCCUCUGCAGGAUUAACAUUAGCCACAAGAUUAGAGAUUCCAGUUUAGGAGUCAUGCAGCUGGAGGCCACAAGAUUCUGACCCUCCCUAAACUGCUCCUAAGAUCAGGGCUUGAGAUAUCUUGCAGACCCUACACUUGAUAGAUCAGCUGGCACUGCCAAGAUCCAUUAACUGGCUUGUGUGAUCUUGGGGGACCCCCACCCAGGAACUGACUCAGUGCAGGGAGACAGCUUCACCACCCUACAAUUUCACCCCUGAUUAAUCAGCGCUCCUGGCUCACUGGCUUCCCCCACCCACCAAGUUGUCCUUAAAAACUCUGCUCCCUGAAUGCUCAGGAAGACUGAUUUGAGUAGUAAUAAAACUCUGGUCUUCUGGUUCUAGAUCCAUGAGGAAUCCCCACACUGUCUUCCACAAUAGUUGAACUAAUUUACAUUCCCACCAAUAGUUUAAAAGCAUUCCUAUUUCUCCACAUCCUCUCCAGCAUCUGUUGUUUCCUGACUGCCAUUCUAACUGGUGUGAGAUGGUAUUUCAUUGUGGUUUUGAUUUGCAUUUCUCUAAUGACCAGUGGUGAUGAGCUUUUUUUCACAUAAUAUCAUUUGACCCAGCAAUGCCAUUACUGGGUAUGUACCCAAAGGAUUGUAAAUCAUUCUACUAUAAAGACACACACACACACACACACACACACACACACACACACACGUAUGUUUAUUGCAGCACUAUUCACAAUAGCAAAGACUUGGAACCAACCCAAAUGCUCAUCAAUGAUAGAGUGGAUAAAGAAAAUGUGGCACAUAUAUGCCAUGGAAUACUAUGCAGCCAUAAAAAGGAUGAGUUUGUGUCCUUUGCAGGGACAUGGAUGAAGCUGGAAACCAUCAUUAUCAGCAAACAAACACAGGAACAGAACACCAAACACUGCAUGUUCUCACUCAUAACUAGGUGUUGAACAAUGAGAACACAUGGACACAGGGAGGGGAACAUCAGACACCAGAGUGUUUCGGAGGGGUGGGGGACUAGGGAUGGAAUAGCAUUAGGAGAAAUACCUAAUGUAGAUGAUGGGUCAAUGGGUGCAGCAAACCACCAUGGCAUGCAUUUACCUAUGUAAUAAACCUGCAUGUUCUGCACAUGUAUAUCGGAACUUAAAGUAUAUAAAACAUAAAAACAAAAAUAAACUCUGGUCUUCUGGACAGUUGGCUCUGCAUGAAUUACUCUUUCUCUAUUGCAAUUCCCGUCUUGAUGAAUCGGCUCUUUCUAGGCAGUGGGCAAGGUGAACCCCUUGGGCAAUAAACUGCUUGGAGAAGUGCAGGACAAUGGCACAGAGAAGGUGGCAUUUCAGUUAGUCUUUAAAAUCAGGCAGGAUGGCUGGGCAGGGUGACUUAUUCCUGUAAUGCCAGCACUUUGGGAGGAUGAUGGGAAGAUCGCCUGAGGUCAGGGGUUCGAGACCAGCCUGGCCAACAUGGUGAGAUCUUCAUCUCUUAGCACAUGCGUGUAAUCCCAGCCACCCAGGAGGCUGAGGCAGAAGAAUCACUGGAACCCGGGAGGCAGAAGCUGCAGUGAGCCAAUAUAGCACCACUGCACUCCAGCCUGGUUGACAGAGAUUCUGUCUCAAGUAAAUAAGCAAAUAAAUUAAAAUCAGGCAGGAAUAAUACUAAUGCAUAUUAAAACACAACAAUAACCAUGACAGCUAACAUAUUAAACUUCAUAGCUGGCUGGGCGCAGUGGCUCACACCUGUAAUUCCAGCACUUUGGGAGGCUGAGGUGGGCAGAUCAGGAGUUCAAGACCAGACUGGCCAACAUGGUGAAAUCCCAUCUCUACCAAAAACUUACAAAAAUUAGCUGGGCAUGGAGACUCGUGCCUGUAAUCCCAUCUACUUGGGAGGCUGAGGUAGGAGAAUUGCUUGAACAGGGACCUGGGAGGCGGAGGUUGCAAUGAGCCGAGAUCACGCCACUGCACUCCAGCCUGGGCUACAGAGCGAGACUCCAUUUAAAAAAAAAAAACAACUUCAUAGCUGACAGCAUUUUCACGCAUUUUAUCAAUUCAAGUUCAUCUCCUCACAUUGCUGCUGACCCUUAGGAAGAGUUUCUUACACCAGUGCUACUUCAAGCAUGGUUUGCUAACUGGGCAUGAUCUCAGCUCACUGCAAACUCUGCCUCCCAGGUUCAAGCAAUUCUCCCACUUCAGCCUCCCAAAUAGCUGGGAUUACCAGCACCUGCCAACACACCUGGCUAAUUUUUGUGUUUUUAGUAGAGACAGGGUUUCAUACGUUGGCCAGACUGGGCUUGAACUCCUGUGAUCUGCCCCCCUUGCCUUCCCAAAGUGCUGGGAUGAUCUGCCCGCCUUGUCCUCCUAAAAUGCUGGGGUGACAGGUGUAAGCCACUGUGCUGGCUUUAUUUUUAUUAUUGUAUUUCAUCAAUGUUUCAGGCUUCAAUGGGUUGAAAGCACGAGUGUGCAUGCGCGCGCGCGCACACACACACACACACACACACACACACCUGGUUUUUUCCCCACCAAACCUUUGAGAAACAUGGCCCAAAAGCACCAAAACAGACAGAAGGCAUGAAAGUGGCAAAUGUGGAGAGCUAGAAGAGAAAGCUCACACUUAAUAGUUCCCAUCUGGAAUAAAUGCUUUCAUUAAAUUGUAUUUAAUCCUCCCAAUAACCCAAUCGGAUUGGUGUUAUGAUCUUAACUUUACAAAAG